rnacentral:misc_RNA from 1 species
CGCACAUUGCGCCCUCUGGUAUUCCGGAGGGCAUGCCUGUUCGAGCGUCAUUUCAACCCUCAAGCCUGGCUUGGUGUUGGGGCACUGCUUUACCCACAAGCAGGCCCUGAAAUAUAGUGGCGAGCUCGCCAGGACUCCGAGCGCAGUAGUUAAACCCUCGCUUUGGAAGGCCUGGCGGUGCCCUGCCGUUAAACCCCAACUUUUGAAAAUUUGACCUCGGAUCAGGUAGGAAUACCCGCUGAACUUAA